CCCAGACUCCUACGGGAGGCAGCAGUGGGGAAUAUUGCACAAUGGGGGAAACCCUGAUGCAGCAACGCCGCGUGAGUGAAGAAGUAUUUCGGUAUGUAAAGCUCUAUCAGCAGGGAAGAAGAAGGACGGUACCUGACUAAGAAGCCCCGGCUAACUACGUGCCAGCAGCCGCGGUAAUACGUAGGGGGCGAGCGUUAUCCGGAUUUACUGGGUGUAAAGGGAGCGUAGACGGUUUUUCAAGUCUGAAGUGAAAGCCCGCGGCUCAACUGCGGAACGGCUUUGGAAACUGAGGGACUAGAGUGCUGGAGGGGCAGGCGGAAUUCCUGGUGUAGCGGUGAAAUGCGUAGAUAUUAGGAGGAACACCAGUGGCGAAGGCGGCUUACUGGACUGUAACUGACACUGAGGCUCGAAAGCGUGGGGAGCAAACAGGAUUAGAUACCCCAGUACAC
rnacentral:rRNA from 1 species